rnacentral:rRNA from 1 species
CUACGGGUCGCUCCAGGUAGGAAUCUUUUGCAAUGCGCGCAAGCGUGACAAAGCGAGCCAGAGUGUUUUACAAAUGUAAAACUUUUGCUAAAUCUAAAAAUUUUGGCGAAUAAGGACUGGGUAAGACGAGUGCCAGCCGCCGCGGUAAAUACUCGCGGUCCAAGUCGCAGCCAUCAUUAUUGGGUCUAAAACAUCCGUAGCUUGUUUAAUAAGUUCUUUGUGAAAUCUUAUCUCUCAAGGGUAAGGCGAGCGAAGAAUACUGUUAAGCUAGAGACUGGAAGACGUAAGAAGUACGUUCAAAGUAUCGGUAAAAUGAGUUAAUCUUGGACGGACUCACAACAGCGAAGGCAUCUUACGAGGACAGUUCUGACAGUAAGGGAUGAAGGCUAGGGGCGCAAAAGGGAUUAGAUACCCUGGUAGUC